UACAGAGGGUGCGAGCGUUAAUCGGAAUUACUGGGCGUAAAGCGCGCGUAGGCGGCUUUGCAAGUCGGGUGGGAAAUCCCCAGGCUUAACCUGGGAACUGCAUUCGAGACUGCAUUGCUAGAGUAUGGGAGAGGGAAGUGGAAUUUCCGGUGUAGCGGUGAAAUGCGUAGAUAUCGGAGGGAACAUCAGUGGCGAAAGCGACUUCCUGGACCAAUACUGACGCUCAUGUGCGAAAGCGUGGGGAGCAAACAGG
rnacentral:rRNA from 1 species